rnacentral:rRNA from 1 species
CACGUAGGAACCCACCCCUUGGACCGGGAUAACAGAGAGAAAUUUCUGCUAAUACCGGAUAUAUUCUUCGGAAGGAAAUGGUCCGCCGCCGAGGGAGGGGCCUGCGGCGUAUUAGCUUGUUGGUGAGGUAACGGCUCACCAAGGCUAUGAUACGUAGCUGGUCUGAGAGGAUGAUCAGCCAGACUGGGACUGCGACACGGCCCAGACUCCUACGGGAGGCAGCAGUUCAGAAUCUUGCACAAUGGACGAAAGUCUGAUGCAGCCAUGCCGCGUGUGCGAAGAAGGCCCUCGGGUCGUAAAGCACUGUCAGGAGGGAAGAUAAUGACGGUACCUCCAGAGGAAGCAACGGCUAAUUACGUGCCAGCAGCCGCGGUAAUACGUAAGUUGCGAGCGUUAUCCGGAAUCACUGGGCGUAAAGCGUUCGUAGGCGGCGUGGUAAGUCAGAUUUGAAAUCCCGGGGCUCAACUCCGGAUCCGGAUCCGAAACUAUCAUGCUUGAGUGUAUCAGAGGGUAGCGGAAUUCCCGGUGUAGCGGUAAUAUGCGUAGAUAUCGGGAGGAACACCAGUGGCGAAGGCGGCUACCUGGGGUACUACUGACGCUGAGGAACGAAAGCUAGGGGAGCGAACGGGAUUAGAUACCCCGGUAGUCCUAGCCGUAAACGAUGUCUACUAGCCGUUGGGGUACUUGAGACCUUAGUGGCGCAGCUAACGCACUAAGUAGACCGCCUGGGGAGUACGGCCGCAAGGUUAAAACUCAA